UCACUGUUCAAUAAAGAAGAAGAAAAUCACGCUGAAGGUUUGUUUAUUUAUUUAUUUGUACACUGUUGCCAAAGGUUUAAACUUAAGGUACAGGGAGGAAAGACUUUCGGCCGAGCUAGAGUUAUAGGGAGUGAUAUUGCUGGUGUAGGCGCGAGGCUGCUUAAGUUUUGCAACGAUGGAUAAGUUCUUGAAUAAUAGUAUAAAAACUGCGCAGUACACGGCUAACUGCUAGCAAUGUAGUUGAUUGUCUAUGUACAUCUGUAAAUUUCUUAUAGGUUCCACGAAGGAAUACAUUGAGACGGAGACGGACCUCCGAAAAGGAAACGAGAAUCACUUAAAGAAAACCGAAAAGCAUGCAAGGGCCACCUGCAUUCACUGUGAGAAAAUGUUCAAAAUUGCAGGAAACACAACUAACCUAUUGGACCACCUCCAACGGAUUCAUCCAAACUAUAUAGUUGCUGAAAUAGAUAAUCAGUCGCCUAGGUUGGAUAGUUUCGUGCAACGGAAUGUAGAAUAUCCUCCAGAGUCCCAACAGAAAAAACAUUGGAUAAGUACGUAAUGCUAAUGGUAGCACAGGAUGUUCAACCGUUUAGCGUGGCUAAGCAUGGACCCUAAAUAUAAAUUGCCGAGCAGAACCCAUUUCAGAGAAGAAAUGCUACCUAAGCUAUGCAACGAGUUGAGAAAGGAUCUUGAAUGUGAGCUCGAAGGUGUCCAGUAUGUAGCAAUUACCACGGAUGGAUGGACUUCGCGUGCAAAUGAAGCCCAAUCAUUGUUACUUGCCAUUUUGUAACCAAUAAGUUCGAGCUAGUUGCAGGGUCCUUUUCGACGGCUAGUCUUCUGACACCCACUAAUCAUUCAGCGAUGAAUAUCGCUAAUACUCUUCGACAGGUGCUAAAUGAGUGGGGUCUUUUACAUAAGGUUGUAAUAAUAGUUACUGAUAACGACGCCACCAUGAAAAAGGCAUGCGAGCAUCUGCAAACUAACCAUUUUACUUGUGUUGCUCAUACACUGCCAAGGCGAAAUUUAAGGAAGCUCAGAUGGUGAAAGACCCCGUAGCACUGGUUCAAGAGGUACCCACAAGGUGGAACAAUGGCACUGUAAUACAGUGCCUUCCAAAUGAUCGAAAGGAUAUUGCAGACAAAUUACGCACUCUCAAUCGCUUCGCUAGGGUCGGCAAAGGCUCCAGAACCUUUUUCGGCCGAUGAAAUCGAUGUACUCAAAAAACUUUGUUUAUGCCAUUCUGGCAUCCCCCACGUUAAGUGAUCGCUUAAACGAUGGUUUUGGGCACUACGAAACGGUCACCUUCCCUAGGAUGGCUACAAUCAGAUCCGAGGUUUUAAAAACAAGCUUUUCAACGAACAAGCAAUGCCGAUCAAGCAUGUCGAGCCUUCGAAGACGACCUUCAAAGUGUGUUGAACAAAUCGGCUCAAGAACAAUCCACUUCGACUGCGCCUACACCACCCAAUUCGACUAAUAGUUCGAGCUACUUUACAAAUCUGCAACUAAAAUUGAACUCAAAAACGAGACAGAAGCAUGCGAUCCGUUACAUUUUUGCAGUGUUCCAACAACAUGCAGCCAUUCAAGGAGCUAGUUAAAUACAUUUACGUCAUGGAAGUCGGAAAGUGCCUUUAGCAAGGCAGGACAAAUCCUUUCCGAUCACCGUACACUAUUGAAGUCCAACAUCGUUGACCAGCUGAUGUUCGAAAAUAAGAACUAUUAUAGCUUUAAUAAGUGAUCUCUAGAACCUUCGACUCAAUAAACUGAAUUCUUGUUUUUAUUUUUUUAAUUUUAAA